GCUUCAUCACGGAGUUUCUCUCGGUUUGUGGGCUCAUCUAAAGGACUAACGUGGAGCGAGAAGUCAGCGCUCUCAGGAGGCCCACAAAUUUGUUGAAGAUAGAAAGGGAGGAAAAAAUACAGCUGUGACGAGUGUGGGAAAGAUUUUACUGUGAAAGCUUUACUAAAAAUGCAUCAGGUCAUCCACACUGGAGAGA